rnacentral:rRNA from 1 species
GACAGAGGCCUCGAGCGUUAGGCGGAAUUACUGGGCGUAAAGCGUGCGCAGGCGGUUGUGCAAGACAGAUGUGAAAUCCCCGGGCUCAACCUGGGAAUUGCAUUUGUGACUGCACGGCUAGAGUGUGUCAGAGGGGGGUAGAAUUCCACGUGUAGCAGUGAAAUGCGUAGAGAUGUGGAGGAAUACCGAUGGCGAAGGCAGCCCCCUGGGAUAACACUGACGCUCAUGCACGAAAGCGUGGGGAGCAAACAGG